rnacentral:rRNA from 1 species
GACGAACGCUGGCGGCGUGCUUAACACAUGCCAGUCGAACGGAAAGGCCCUGCUUUUGUGGGGUGCUCGAGUGGCGAACGGGUGAGUAACACGUGAGUAACCUGCCCUUGACUUUGGGAUAACUUCAGGAAACUGGGGCUAAUACCGGAUAGGAGCUCCUGCUGCAUGGUGGGGGUUGGAAAGUUUCGGCGGUUGGGGAUGGACUCGCGGCUUAUCAGCUUGUUGGUGGGGUAGUGGCUUACCAAGGCUUUGACGGGUAGCCGGCCUGAGAGGGUGACCGGCCACACUGGGACUGAGAUACGGCCCAGACUCCUACGGGAGGCAGCAGUGGGGAAUAUUGCACAAUGGGCGGAAGCCUGAUGCAGCAACGCCGCGUGCGGGAUGACGGCCUUCGGGUUGUAAACCGCUUUCGCCUGUGACGAAGCGUGAGUGACGGUAAUGGGUAAAGAAGCACCGGCUAACUACGUG